GUAGUGACGAAAAAUAACGAUGCAGAACUCAUUCCGAGGCUCUGCAAUCGGAAUGAGUACACUCUAAAUCAUUUAACGAGUAUCCAUUGGAGGAAAAGUCUGGUGCCAGCACCCGCGGUAAUUCCAGCUCCAAUAGCGUAUAUUAAAGUUGUUGCGGUUAAAAAGCUCGUAGUUGGAUCUGUGUUCCACGCUGUCGGUUCACUGUUUUGACAGUGUUUAACUGACAUGCUCGUGGUACGUCCUGCCGGUUGGCGGCGUGGCGCGGCUCGCGUGGUUCCACCGCGUGUGGCUGCCGUUGCGUCUGCCAGUUCCAAUCCUGUCGCGGUGCUCUUCGCCGAGUGUCGAGGCGGGCCGGCACGUUUACCUUGAACAAAUUUGAGUGCUUAAAGCGGGCUAUAACCGCCGGAAAACUGUGUGCAUGGAAUAAUAUAAUAGGACCGCGGUUCUAUUUUGUUGGUUUUCAGAGUCCGAGGUAAUGAUUAAUAGGGACAGGCGGGGGCAUUAGUAUUGCGACGUUAGAGGUGAAAUUCUUGGAUCGUCGCAAGACUAACCUAAGCGAAAGCAUUUGCCAAGGAUGCUUCCAUUAAUCAAGAACGAAAGUUAGAGGUUCGAAGGCGAUCAGAUACCGCCCUAGUUCUAACCAUAAACGAUGCCAGCCAGCGAUCCGUCGACGUUCCUCCGAUGACUCGACGGGCAGCUUCCGGGAAACUAAAGCAUUUGGGUUCCGGGGGAAGUAUGGUUGCAAAGCUGAAACUUAAAGGAAUUGACGGAAAGGCACCACCAGGAGUGGAGCCUGCGGCUUAAUUUGACUCAACACGGGAAAUCUCACCAGGCCAGAACACCAGGUGGAUUGACAGAUUGAGAGCUCUUUCUUGAUUUGGUGGGUGGUGGUGCAUGGCCG
rnacentral:rRNA from 1 species